rnacentral:rRNA from 1 species
UAAACGAUGGAUACUAGGCGUAGCUCGUAUCGACCCGAGCUGUGCCGGAGCUAACGCGUUAAGUAUCCCGCCUGGGGAGUACGCAGGCAACUGUGAAACUCAAAGGAAUUGACGGGGGCCCGCACAAGCGGUGGAGUAUGUGGUUUAAUUCGAUGCAACGCGAAGAACCUUACCAAGGCUUGACAUGUCACGAAUCCUAUUGAAAGAUGGGAGUGCCUUCGGGAGCGUGAACACAGGUGGUGCAUGGCUGUCGUCAGCUCGCGUCGUGAGAUGUUGGGUUAAGUCCCGCAACGAGCGCAACCCUCGUUUUUAGUUGCCAGCAUUAAGAUGGGCACUCUAGAGAGACUGCCGGUGACAAACCGGAGGAAGGUGGGGAUGACGUCAAGUCAGCAUGCCCCUUACGUCUUGGGCUACACACGUACUACAAUGCUCCGGACAAAGGGCAGCUACACAGCGAUGUGAUGCGAAUCUCAUAAACCGGAGCUCAGUUCAGAUCGAAGGCUGCAACUCGCCUUCGU